rnacentral:lncRNA from 1 species
UCAAUCCCACAUAUUUAGGAAGGCAAAUCUCAUCAAAAUACAAUUACCUUCCAAGAAUUCAACUCCAAUUGGGAAAAGGAGUCCCAUCUCAACAAGGAAACCUAGGGCAGCCUCUUCAGCUAUAAAAGGGCAUGCAAACCAGCAGAUCAAGUAUCCUUGAAUCAUCUUUGGAUCAACUCAUCCUCGGCAGGACCACUCCAGCAGCUGCGCGCCC